UAACCUGCCCAAGAGAUCGGGAUAACACCUGGAAACAGAUGCUAAUACCGGAUAACAACAGAUGAUGCCUAUCAACUGUUUAAAAGAUGGUUCUGCUAUCACUCUUGGAUGGACCUGCGGUGCAUUAGCUAGUUGGUAGGGUAACGGCCUACCAAGGCGAUGAUGCAUAGCCGAAUUGAGAGACUGAUCGGCCACAUUGGGACUGAGACACGGCCCAAACUCCUACGGGAGGCAGCAGGC
rnacentral:rRNA from 1 species